GGAAGAUUUAAUCAUCAUCGUAUUAUGCAAUCUUCAUCGCGGAGCCUCGUGUUUUGGAUUUCAAGAACUCAGUUCAAACGGUAAAACGGAAUGGAGCAAGAAAGGAGACUUACCGGUUUCGACGCGGCGGCCAAAAUAGAAUGAUCGUGUAUACGAAUGGGAUGAAGAAGAAGAUUGAAGCAUAACUGAGUUUUCUCUCUCUGUGAUGGAGUGAAGCAAAUUGAGUUUUCUUCCUCUGUGAUGGAAUGAAAAGGGUCAAAAGGAAACUUUAGUGCAAAACCAAAAUGAUGCAGUGCAGUGUUCUGAUUCUGUUGAAGCAAAAAGUCGGAUCCAGAUGCAGAUGGUUAAUCGGUUGUUAGCUCGGGUUAG